rnacentral:rRNA from 1 species
UUUUACAACAUAGUGUUAAUGAACCGGAUCCCAUUAGAACUCCACAAUUUAUCAUGCUCAUGCUAGAGUAGUACUGGGAUGGGUGACCGCUCAGGAAGUCCUAGUGUUUUACAUU